GACGAACGCUGGCGGCGUGCCUAACACAUGCAAGUCGAGCGGAGUCGAUCGACGGAAGCCUUCGGGCGGAAGAUGGUUGACUUAGCGGCGGAUGGGUGAGUAACGCGUGGGCAACCUGCCUCGAAGACCGGGAUAACAGCCCGAAAGGGCUGCUAAUACCGGAUGUGGUCAAGGAUCCGCAUGGAUUUUUGAUUAAAGGGGAAACCCGUUUCGAGAUGGGCCCGCGUCCUAUCAGCUAGUUGGUGAGGUAAAAGCUCACCAAGGCGACGACGGGUAGCCGGCCUGAGAGGGUGACCGGCCACACUGGAACUGAGACACGGUCCAGACUCCUACGGGGGCAGCAGUGGGGAAUCUUCCACAAUGGGCGAAAGCCUGAUGGAGCGACGCCGCGUGAGCGAAGAAGGCCUCGGUUGUAAGACUCUGUCUGGAGGACGAAGGAAGUGACGGUACCUCCGGAGGAAGCCACGGCUAACUACGUG
rnacentral:rRNA from 1 species